GAUGAACGCUAGCGACAGGCCUAACACAUGCAAGUCGAGGGGUAGAGGAAGCUUGCUUCCUUGAGACCGGCGCACGGGUGCGUAACGCGUAUGCAAUCUACCUUUUACAGAGGGAUAGCCCAGAGAAAUUUGGAUUAAUACCUCAUAGUAUCUUUGCCUGGCAUCGGGUGAUUAUUAAAGUUCCAACGGUAAAAGAUGAGCAUGCGUCCUAUUAGCUAGAUGGUAAGGUAACGGCUUACCAUGGCAACGAUAGGUAGGGGUCCUGAGAGGGAAGUCCUCCCCACUGGUACAGAUACACGGACCAGACUCCUAGGGGAGGCAGCAGUGAGGAAUAUUGAACAAUGGGCGCAAGCCUGCUCCAGCCAUGCCGCGUGCAGGAAGACGGUCCUAUGGAUUGUAAACUGCUUUUGUACGGGAAGAAACACUCCUACGUGUAGGAGCUUGACGGUACCGUAAGAAUAAGGAUCGGCUAACUCCGUGCCAGCAGCCGCCGCCGUAA
rnacentral:rRNA from 1 species